rnacentral:rRNA from 1 species
CGCCGCCUACGGGGGGCAGCAGUGGGGAAUAUUGCACAAUGGGCGAAAGCCUGAUGCAGCAACGCCGCGUGAAGGAGGAAGGGUUUCGGCUCGUAAACUUCUAUCAACAGGGACGAAAGAAAUGACGGUACCUGAAUAAGAAGCCCCGGCUAACUACGUGCCAGCAGCCGCGGUAAUACGUAGGGGGCAAGCGUUAUCCGGAUUUACUGGGGGUAAAGGGAGCGUAGACGGAAAGGCAAGUCAGAAGUGAAAGCCCAAGGCUCAACCAUGGGACUGCUUUU